CUAGUGCACUGCUACACGCGUCGUUGCAUCUAUCUGCAGUUCUUCACCAAUCUUUGCUGCUGCCGAACCAAUUAGGUACGAGAUGGAGAGAGGGCAGGAGGAGGCUCCGGCGAUCAAUGCAAGAGGAGCAAGGCGGAGGCGGAGGGGCAAGACGGCUAGUCACGGCGACCACAACCUCCAUGACCAGGUGAGGGGAUCAAGAUGACAAGAAGUCAAAGCUCAACAAGGUAUUUUGGUUUCCUCCAAUACUUCAAGAGUUCUAUCAGCAACUCAUCGU
rnacentral:lncRNA from 1 species